AAAAGGAAAAGCAUAAACCGAAUAUAGUAAUCAAUAUCUUACUUUAUUUUCCUUUUUUCACGAGCUACGUGUUCUCGUAAAACUUUUUGCUUUUGAACAAGACUUCGUCCAGCUUUACCUUUUAAUUUAUGCUUAAUCAUCAUAAAGUUCUUGUUACGUUGUUUUCUUUUGUUAGAAAGACUUGUUGGGUUAAAACCUGCCUUUUUAGAUGAAAAUUUAUCACGUCCUUCACGUCCUUCCAUGACACUAGCAAUACGGGCUUCUCGGUCGUUCUUAGCCUUUUUUCUAGGACCUUCAAUUUCAUCAGCCUCAACGGCAUCGUCUGGCCUCUUUAAAGAACGCUUAGGUCCAUUGACGAGACGAUCAACACCCGCUUGCUCCCUAAGCUCUUCCAACUUUUUCAAGUCAUUAGGUGUCAAAAUAGAUUGAGACGCAAGCUCGGUCAUUCUAUCAACUAGUUCCUUUUGUGAAGAAGAUCCUUUCUCAUCUGAUUCUUUUCUUGCAGUGGCCUUCUCUUCCUCUUCAUCGCUGUCACUUAAUUCAAUAUUGUCAUCACUAUCGACAUCGAUCCAGCCACCACUAUCAUCAGAAUUCUGUCCAUCUUCUGAAACUUCCCAAUUAUCCCAAUCGUCUCCAUUUUCUCCUUCUUCUCCGUGUUCAGCUUUAUACUGAGCUAAAAGUUCCAAUCCUUGGAUUCCGUGGGUGACGUUUAACUCCUCACCAUACUUCAAAGGUGUACGAUCUUUCAUCUCAAUAGAAGCAAGCUUACCACGAUCCUUUCUUUUCAACAUGUCGGGAGCAACUUCACGAUACAGAGUGAUGAGACUACGACUAGCCAUCAUAACACCUUUAUCCUUACUAGAUUUGUACUCAGUUAGAUCCUGAAGAAGGUCGGGAGUCAUUGCCAAAGGCGCACGAGCACAAACUUCACGAAUAGCAUUAAUACCAGCACAAACAACCUCAUUGGCGACACCUGAAGUAACGAAUUCGUCGGCAAUUUUUCUAACUAACGGUUCAAGCGCAUCUGGAGGUACGAAUUCAUGGGAAGCUUGAGCGAGACAUGCUAAAAACUGAGUAACGUCUCUCUGGUGGGGUGUCAAAUAUUUCAUUAAAAAAGAAUAAAGACCUAGGACUGUAAGUUUGUGAGAACCUACCAAUCUGGUAAGGAGUCGAAGGACCACCAGUUUUUGAUCCAUUGACAGACGGCUUUUUGAGCUAGCCAAGUGCUUUUCAAAAAGUUCUUCGGCAAAUCCUUGAGGGUCAUGAAGAAGCUGUAAAGCCGGAAAGUUAACGUUUGUGGGGACGUUUUGUUUUCCUCGCUCUUUCUUCUUUACAACUGCGCGAGCACGAAGCAAAGCAGCCUCACGGGAUUUUGUCUUUUUAUUUACAUUAGCUUGAUGCAAAAGCUUGGAAACAUCUGGACCCUCAUCAUCAGAUUCCUCCUCCUCUUCUUGAUUGUCAGCACCUAAGAAAAAGUAAAUCCCUGCAAGCAUAACUUUGGGGUUUGAUGAUAGUGCGGCAGAUUUCAUGAUGUUUACGGCACGUGCAUCACCGGACCAAACAUUCCUUUUCCAUAAAUCACGAACCAUUUUGACAGCCCAAACACCUGAUAAUUCACUUGCUGAAUAUUCUCGCUUUUGUCCAGAAUAAUCAGUAUGUGUUGCUGAACCACUACCCGAACCGUCAACCAAAGUAAACAGAGCAGACUGAACAGCUUUAUUCAACUUAUCAUUUUUGGCUUGUUUAUUGGCAUUCCGAAUGGUGAGAGAUACCUGUUGAUACAAAAGUUCGCGAACACCACGAGUAGGAUUUUCACGGAAAAGCGGGAAAAAACAUUGUAGUAAUGUAAUAGGAGAUAUUACUGUUUUAUUUUUUAACAGAACAAGGCAUAAAACGAUUUUUUCACAAAGUUCGAAAGGGAAUAUUGUGUGGUUUUUUUGUAAUAGCUCAAUUAAUUCGCUAGGAAAGUCGGCAGUAACAUCAUGAUAAUAAUUACAAGUUUGGGAAAUGAAAUCGAUUAAUGAACAAAAUUCGGAAAUGUCUGAAGAUGGAUUAACAAGAAAAAUUUCGCGCGCGGUUUCAUAGUGAUUCCAUUGCUGCAAAAAUUCUUCUCUGUAGGAUUUUGGAUCCUUUUUGACCAGAUGUUGUAGAUGAGGAAGAUUGUUAGGUAAAACAGCAGCAGUGCGUCUUUUCACCAUAUUAAUGUAUCUUUGUGAAAAUAU
rnacentral:lncRNA from 1 species